AACUCAAACACAGGGGUAAGAAUCAUACCGUAGGGCAGCUUUUUAGGGUUGUUCAACAACUUGUCAAAAAUGAUGUGACAUAGAUUGAGUGGUUUCUUCUCAACUAUGUGCCACAUUAUACACAGCUCUACUUGAUUUACAUAAGUGAGUGAAGCACUCUUGGGAUAAAUGUAGUGCACAAUGAGCUUGUACAACCAUUUCAUGCUAUCUGUCAGAUUAGAGCACUCUAUUGUACCCUGUUUGUCUGCUAAACCCUUCUUCACAAUCUUUUUCACAAAUUCCCCCUUUUUAUAAUCGCUAACCCUAGACACCUCCUUAAUUUUGGUCACCC
rnacentral:lncRNA from 1 species